CCUACGGGGGGCAGCAGUGGGGAAUAUUGCACAAUGGGGGAAACCCUGAUGCAGCGACGCCGCGUGAGUGAAGAAGGAUCUCGGUACGUAAAGCUCUAUCAGCAGGGAAGCUAAUGACGGUACCUGACCAAGAAGCCCCGGCUAACUACGGGCCAGCAGCCGCGGUAAUACGUAGGGGGCAAGCGUUAUCCGGAGUUACUGGGUGUAAAGGGGGCGUAGACGGCAGCACAAGUCUGGAGUGAAAUCCCGGGGCUUAACCCCGGAACUGCUUUGGAAACUGUGAGGCUGGAGUGGAGGAGGGGUAAGCGGAAUGCCUGGUGUAGCGGUGAAAUGCGUAGAUAGUAGGAGGAACACCGGUGGCGAAGGCGGCUUACUGGACUGUAACUGACGCUGAGGCUCGAAAGCGUGGGUAGCAAACAGGAUUAGAUACCCUAGUAGUC
rnacentral:rRNA from 1 species